UGGUUCUGCUGCUUUCUCCACAGGUGUUCGUGGUUGACGGGUGGGUUAGGGUUACCUAACCCUAACCCUAACCUGCGGGCAGUUGAGCAGCACCAGGCAGCACUAUAAGAACUGUGCGCAGACAGCGGGAGGAUGCCAGAGUGUUACCGUCGUGGUUCCUCCUCGUGUCCCGACACCUCCCUCUCGUGACUUCCCCGUUCAAGAUCCAUUGUUCAUCCUCUCAAGUUGGUUCCCCUCGUGGAUUCCUCUGAGUUCCUCCCAAGUUGGCUCCCCUCCUUUGGACCGUGACCUCCCUUGGACACAAGCUGGUUCCUCUCGCUGGUCUGGAUACCUGGAUUUCCCCGGUGCUGCUCAGAUCCGCUGCCGCCUCCGUUCCCUGGUCUCCCGGACACCUGUGGCUCCAUCACCAGGCCAACAUCGAGUCCACAUCACCACCUCACCGGUUUGGUCACCUCACUCAGUGAUUACCCGGUCUCCCGCCUUCCUGGUGCCCCGUUCGAGCUCUGUCCUGCAGUAGCCGAUUCUCCCCUGUGUUCCUUGGUUAAAUAAACCUUUUUCUAUUUACCUGUUUUCCCGAGUGUUUUCUGCAUGUG